rnacentral:lncRNA from 1 species
UUGAACACACUGGAAAGUCGGUGCUUCCGGCCCUUGCUCAGGUCAGUAACACAUUAUUUCUGCAUCUGUCCGCGUUUUUCCUGCCUCAUUCCUUUCUCCUAUAGUGAAUUACAUGUUUUUUCCAUCUUGGUGCUACAUAAAUUUACAUGAAUGAGUGCAAGAAUCAAGUGAUCUUGGUAAAGCACUAUGUUUUCUUGAACUUUGAUUUUGGAGUAUAAAACUUUUCUGAAUGCAAUAAUAUUUUAUAGGUUGCUGAAAGGCAAGGGAAGUACCUUGUUGGAUUGUUCAACAACAUUGGGAAACAGAAUGGAGGCAAAGCUCUCUCUGCCAAAGAAAUCUCUCUGGGAGAUCCAUUUGUCUACAGGCAUCUUGGAAGCAUGGCAUCUGUGGGCCGUUACAAAGCUCUCGUUGAUCUCCGCCAAUCUAAGGUGUACAUUUAUCAUCUCUAUUACUCUUUCAUCAAGCCUAAAGUGUAUUCGCUGGUAGGUUAUGACACACAGUCAGAGGCAUCUACGAUGAAUUCUAUCUUCUAUGGGUUCAACUGAUCCCUUUGUACUUACAGCUAGGCCCAAAAUGAAGUUAAUGCGUACACAUUAAGAUCUCACUCAUUCUGAAGUUAAGGAUAUAAAUCCUAGAUUCGCCUCUAUAUAAUUAUAUAUAUCAAUCAAGAAAGAGCUUGCGUACAUAUAAGAUCUCACUCAUUCUGAAGUUAAGGAUAUAAAUCCUAGAUUCGCCUCUAUAUAAUUAUAUAUAUCAAUCAAGAAAGAGCUUGUUUACCUUUGCGUCUUGUAAAUUAGACUCAUCUUCAUUUCUUUGUCAGGAUGAAAAAGGCAUCUCAUUAGCAGGCUUUGUGAGCUGGUUUAUUUGGCG